rnacentral:rRNA from 1 species
UGCGUAGGCGGCUUUUUAAGUCGGAUGUGAAAUCCCUGAGCUUAACUUAGGAAUUGCAUUCGAUACUGGAAAGCUAGAGUAUGGGAGAGGAUGGUAGAAUUCCAGGUGUAGCGGUGAAAUGCGUAGAGAUCUGGAGGAAUACCGAUGGCGAAGGCAGCCAUCUGGCCUAAUACUGACGCUGAGGUACGAAAGCCUGGGGAGCACACAUGAGUAGAUAUCCGAUUA